rnacentral:rRNA from 1 species
GAUGAACGCUAGCGGGAGGCCUAACACAUGCAAGCCGAGCGGUAUUUGUUCUUCGGAACAGAGAGAGCGGCGCACGGGUGCGGAACACGUGUGCAACCUGCCUUUAUCUGGGGGAUAGCCUUUCGAAAGGAAGAUUAAUACCCCAUAAUAUAUUGAGUGGCAUCAUUUGAUAUUGAAAACUCCGGUGGAUAGAGAUGGGCACGCGCAAGAUUAGAUAGUUGGUGAGGUAACGGCUCACCAAGUCAAUGAUCUUUAGGGGGCCUGAGAGGGUGAUCCCCCACACUGGUACUGAGACACGGACCAGACGCCUACGGGAGGCAGCAGUGAGGAAUAUUGGACAAUGGGUUAGCGCCUGAUCCAGCCAUCCCGCGUGAAGGACGACGGCCCUAUGGGUUGUAAACUUCUUUUGUAUAGGGAUAAACCUACUCUCGUGAGAGUAGCUGAAGGUACUAUACGAAUAAGCACCGGCUAACUCCGUG